UGUGCGGCUGAAAAGUAGCCUUUGUUGUGGGGUUUGCAGGCUUUGUCCCCUCCUAGGAGCAGUGCCCCUUUCUUCAGGCUUCAACCCCUCGGAGAGAACUUGCAUCGUGGUCACCAAGCACUGAGUCUCAAAGCUGAACCAGGGAACUCUUCCUAAGGCUCUCCAUGCUGGCCGUGCUCUGCAUCCUGACGCGUCCUCAUCGGCACACCAGGGCAGCACCAGAAGAGCUACUGCAGCCUUUGGAGAGGAGUGGGCAUCUUGCAGUCUUCUUGCCCGUUGCGCUCCAAGCACAUUAGUCCCAAAGCCAUGCUCUCCAAAGGACUUUCAAGCAUCAUUUAAACUCGUCUCAGACCAGCUCCCUGGACUCGUCUGCUGCCAUGAGAGGUCUCAGCCAAGGAUUUGGAGCCAAGAUAUGAGGGAAAUGGCUUAACCAGAUGUGUGCCCAUGCCUGCAACACUGAACUUUGAGAUGUGGUUAUUUAAAAAGCCUGCCAUCUUCUCUGGCUCACUGCAGCAAGGGAAGACUGAGGCCUCUGAAGAUGGAACCCAGUCCGUCUUCUAGCUCUUCAGGUGCAGCGAGAACAUUUAAGGACUGAUCUUUUACAGCUCCUCUCAAGCACUGGAAUUUCCAGGUGCAUGUUUUCAGGGCACAAGCAACCCCAGGAAAGCUGCUUUUCAAAAGGUAUGUCAUCUCUUGUUUAGGCUGAAAAAAGCAAUGAAAAAAAAGAAGUGAAAAAACUGACCUUUGGCAUCAAAACAAAGCAAGUAUUUGCUUUCCAUAAACUUCUUUAACUGUAUCUCAUGCAAAAAAAAAAAAAAAAAACCUGUAAUAACUACUUAAGGAAAUAAGGAUGAAGGUAAAAGCAAGGUGCUAGUAUUGGAGAUAAGGUUAAAUCAGGGCCCAGCAGAAAGAACGUGGCUGGGGAAGAAGUUUAACAAGUUCAUUUUAUGUGCCACUGUGUCAUGCUUCUCUUUGUUGCUCAAGAAUGUUGCCUCACUGGUUCCUAGGGUGUGAAAGGGCCAUGUUGCUGGGAGGAUGUGCCCCACGGACCACACAUGAGCCACUACUGGGCUAUGUGACACUGACAGAAGAGGUGAUCCCUCUGAAAAUUGUUGUUUUACUUGUAUUGCAAUUUUGCCAUGGACCAAGAACUGGCCUGGACUUUGUGGUCAGAGGUCUUCUGUAGAGUGAUAGUUUGCAGAACAGUAGUGUGCAGGCCAAAAGCAGAAGCAGAGCAGGUAGGCACUCAAACCAAAUCAAGGGAACUUAAUGUCCAUCCGUGGAAGGUGUUCACAGUGGUCAGGAGGUUUGGAAGAUAUUCAUCUUGUAAGACAGGAGUUCUGGAGAUUAAGCUAAAUCCUCUCUAAAGUAAUGGAGAUCCUUCUGGCCUUUGCUGCCUUCAAAGGGAAGAGGUAGGACAAGAGCACCCAUAGAUUAUGUUGUGUGUAUGCAUAUAAAGCAAAGCAUGGCAGGAACCUGACAAACCUUGCUGAGAAGUGUAGAGUGUACUGGGAGCAUGUGGCAAGCCCUGGCGUAUACACACCUUGUCACUGUGAUCAGUGGCUUGAAGCCAGGCUAGGUCAGAGUUUACACUGCGAACUGACAUCCCUUCCUCCUGCCAGUGUUUGUACACAUCCCAAACUGCUAUUGCGCAAUCUGGUGUGAGUGGCAUGCUCUGCUCAGAAGAGAUCCAGGACUGGAAGAGCAGGCUACAUCUGUCUGUUGGGCAGGACUGCAAUGCAGGACUGGAGACAUCUGAGCCUGAUUGCUUUCCUUCCAUUCCUCCACUUUCCACCCGCAUCCCCAUCCCUGAAACAAAGAUUCCCACUAAAGGCAAACAAGUAGCUAUAGCAGAAGAUUUCCUAGCUGCUGCCCGCAUGUCAGCUGCUGCUGCUGCUGCAGACUGUGGCUCAUGUGAUGACAGCACUGAUUCAAUUAACUGAUUUUUUGAAUCCUUCAUUUUAUAGCAGUAAGUCCCUUGUGUGGACACUCUUAAACCAGUUAGAAGAACCGAUCAAGUAUAAAUUUGUAGAAGAAAAGGAGAUGGGACUCUGCUUCACUUCUCUUUUUCUGUCUGUUCCUUCUGCCUAGCUGCACAGCCAGGCAGUCCAGUGACAGUGCCCUGCUGUUCUGCCUUAGAAGGGGUUACUGCCUCUGCCAAUCCUGGAAGAAAAAGUGAUCAGCCCCCAGCACCAUUUGUUCUGCCCUUGCUGAUCUCAAAGCCUGCUCCAGAGCAUGUCUUCUGUGAGCUCCAAGACUGUUCAUCAUAACUGCCCCUUCUACCUCUUCCAGCUUAAAGGCAAGCAGGAACUGACACUUUAUAGGACUUUACUGUGAGGGACUACACUUUACAUCUACAGGACUCAGAAAAGCCAAGGUAUGGCUCCCAUAACAGCUGUAACUCAGACCUUUUUGCACACAUAUUAUUUUUAGUUAUUAUAGAUGGUGUUAACGUUAAUGCCUUAACCCUUAAAGCAGCUAGCUAAUUUCCAGGUCGAUAUGACCAGUGAGCUGGCUAAUUUCCAGCAUUUUGGGGAGAGAGCCAAGAAGUGCAAUGCCAGGGUGUUUCUGACUGCUGAUGUGUCUAAGUAGAGUACAUCCAGGUCCGUGCUUCUUCCCGGGCCUCUGCCCACCAUCUGCCACCCCACCAUCCUUUGUGCCAGGGGGCUAAGUGUCUUUGUGAGUAGGGCUGCAAGCUGCAUGUCAUCGUACCGUCAACCAAGAUGCCUAGCAGAGGACAAAUUGGCGGUUUAUUAACCUAGCUGCACAAUGCUAGGGACAUUAGAAGAGGCAACCAACUUGGCCUAGGAGUUCUGCAAGGGUAAGAUGUAAGAAAAACGUGACACCAUCACCCAUGCGCCGCCCAUUGUUCCUGAAAUGUGGAUCUGACAAGGAAAAGGUUGUGGCAAGCGGGCAGGAGAGGAAAAGGGAGGGGGCAGUUCAAACACUAUGGCCCGGAGAAAGAAAACCCUGCGUUCAUGCUUGCGUCAGUAGCCUGCCUGUGUGCUGACCCCCGGCUCACCUGAGCCUUGGCAAAGCUCCCCUUUGUUCUGUGUUGGCUUUCAGAAUCCAAAGCUAUCCCACAGCCACUCUGUGACCCGUUCCACCCAGACAGCCUGCCCAUGAUUGCUUCAUAAAGCAAGACCCAGGAAUCAAAAACAGGGCAUGUUUCCUGAGCAGAGAUGGAAAACAGCUGCGCUGGAAAAAAGGAGGGGUUUGCUGGCUGAGCAGUGGAAAAUACAGAUCAAGGCCUGGUUGAGCAAUCUUCCCUGGCUGGCCUUUGGCUGCUAUUGUGGCGAGGGGACUCGCUGGCGUUGGCAGGAGGCUGCUGCCAGGCGGCAGGGUAGCGAGAGCCUCUGAUGACCACAAGCCUAGAAACCCAGAGCUUAGUUCUGCCUGUUUGUCGCUUGCGUGGUGUUGCGCUGCCUGGGAGGCUGAAAAGGGACGUCAUGGUGAUGUGGCCCUUAUCACUGCGCUGUACCUGUAUCUGUCCAGCCUGUCCCAGGGGGCAUUUGAAUGGCCGGGCCAGUUACAGUGAAGGCACGUAGAUCUGUACCGCUACAAAAUAGUGGCAUCAGCCCAGGUGUGGAUCUAGAUUCCUGCCUGGUGUUCACAGAGUGCUUGCUGUGUGGCUAAGGGAUGUGGUUACGUAGUCUGGCCAGGUUCCUGCGUCUGAAUCCUCGGCUCCCAUACAGUGCAGUCGGUGCACACCAGACAACUGGACAACGCACGUGAGCUAACCUCACGUACCUGCAGUUGCAUGCUGGGGUGGGAGGCUGAGCGUAUAAACUUGGAGCUCGCAUCUGCUCUACCACCACUCUGCUCUGACAUCAAAGGAAGCCACUGCCAUGGUUUUAUAAGCUUUGUCUGCUGGUUGCUUCGAGUCCAACUUCUGGAAGAGUCCCUGAUUUGUAUCAAAUCCAAAAUCUGUAACCAAAAGUAAAUGAUCGUGUGGCUUUAACAUGCAGGCAGAGUUUGAAGCCAGAGGAAAGGGCUGUGGGGUUCUGUUAGAUUUUUUUUUUCUAAUUAUUGUGCACAAGAAGGAGAUGGUGAAUGUGAACAGAGAGGGAGGAUUAAUUAGGCCUUUGCUGACCAGAGCCCAAUUCUGAAAAAUUUUACUAUGUUCUGCUGAGGGAGUGCAGCACCACCUCUCUUCUCCUAGUGCUCUUCUCUGUAGCUAAGCAAGAAACUAAAGGGAAGGGGCAAAAUGUUGAGAAGGCAGAAAGCGAAGGAAAUAGGCAGGACCAUCAAUCACCUCCUAGGCUGAUACAUACCAGCAACAUUGGCCUCUCUUCUUAGCACCUGGAACAGCAGAAGACAGUAUGAUGAAUGUUUUUCACUGUGUAGUACUGGGGCCAUGGAUGCACUGUAAUUGCAGGGAGAUCGUGCUUUCUUAGAACUGGCUCAACCUACCGAGCUGAAACAUAUGGAUUCAGACCUUGCUCUGCAGCAGUUUCCAGCAGUGUUCAUCACUAAGACACAGCACAGCUGCAGAGGAAAAAACAACAAAACAGAUCAGUGCUACAGACCCACCAAGGGGCAGAAUGAAGAUGUGGUGUGGUGACCUAUAGGAGGAGGCAAACUGCCGAAUGGAGGCAGGAGCAGCUCCCAAAGGAGCGCAGAGGGAAGCCAUUCUGGCCCAGAUAGCCAACUCUGGAGUAUUUCUGGCCCUCUGGCCUGGGCUUUGGAGUACCGGUACCUCGGGGUGAGCACCAAGGGGGUGCUGGCUUCACAUGCUAGAAGGGCACGGUCUUGAGGCCAUUAGCACAAAGAUACAGUAGUGUUACCAGGAGCAAACUGUGACUGCGGGCGAACAGUGAUAUGUAGGUGCAGAGAUGGAUGAAAGCAGCAUUGCUUUUGCAGUUAGGGGCUAAGCUCCCAAUGGGAUGCAAGCAUUGCAUUAUUUGAGUUUUCGGCAUGUUGGGAGCUUAAGACUGUAUAUACACUGUAGAGAAGGAGGAAGGCAGCGAACAGCUCUUGUGCCAGCAGUCAGCCUGGAGCCCCGUCAGCUGGGCUUCUCUGGGCGCAGCUUCCCGGGGGCUGCGGGGAGGUAGCUCAUGCUGCUCAAGGGCUCAGCCGGUGACUCCUACCCCAGCAGGAGAAUGGCUUUUCUUAGAUAUUUCUCACACAUCGUUUUCUGAGAAGGCUCUGAGAGAGUAUAUGUAAUAUAUUUUGAGAAGAAUUCCUCUCUCAGAAGAGAGGAAAAUGAGAAAAAUGGCAUGCUUAGAUUUUUGUCCCUAUAGCACUUUAAGAAGUACUUUCUAGACAAAGAACAAUGAGUUUUAGCUAUUACUGAUUUAAGCCAGGUCACACUAAACUUGAUACACAUCAGGCUUUGCACAAGUGCACACAAAACCAGUUUGUUUAAAUCUGGGCAUUUUUUCUAGUACAUUCAGACAAACAAAACCCAGGUAGGUGUGCAAAAUUAAUAGUUGGUAAUAGCUUCAGCAUUCUUAGAGCUAUUGAAAUUUUGGCAUUACUUGCAGAUAAAAGCUCCAGCACUUCGAAGUUUAUUUUUGAUCCAAAAAAAGAUGCAGGCAUAUUUUAGAAAUAACUUACAAAAUGAGGCAUUAGUCUUUUGUCUUAUACUGACCUCAAGUUAUUCUUUUUAAAAAAAUACAUCCUUCCCUUUUAACUUCUUAAUGUGAUAUUUGUAAUCAGAGCGCUUAAGAAACAAACAUUCUGCCUCAGUAGCUGCUCAACAGUGUCAAAAUGGGAUUUCGACAAUGGCUGAAACAAAAUUUCAUUUAGAAAAAAAUUUUGUUACCACAAGAAAGUUCCAAUUCUGGUGAAAGUGUAUUUCCUCCAAAAAAGCAAAAAGCAAACCUAUUAUUCAAGGAUUUGAUCUGAUGUCUGUUUGCUCUUCAAGAGGCAGUAGGGCAAUGGAGAGAAGGAAAUUGUAAGUUUUGGGAGAAAAGUCCUAUGAAGAAAUGGGGACAAUGAAAGCAGAGGAAGGAAAGUACAAAUUCCAAGGUAUUUGAGACAUAGCUGGUAUCCUUUACAUCCUGAGUUGUGCAGUUCAGUUGUACAUAUUUCAGUGUCCCACCACAGAGGCAGCUGCGUUUCAGUUGUGAGUUAUUAUACGCAGAGUUUUGUAUAGUUGUCAUAGGAUCUUAUGAGAUGAAAAGGAGCUGACCACGGCAAAGAAAGUAAAACAGAACAUGCAAUCUAUUAACUAUGCUGGAAACCACUCAUGCCACAGAGGAAUGGGUGCCAGGAAGCAAAACCUUCCAGAAGAAGAAGGAGAAAAAAAAAAAAAAAAAGGACAUUGGUAGCUGGGAGAAGAGUACAGACUCAUUACCACAGCUGAACUGUUGAAAACCAGCCGCCGGUUUUCUGUAGCUCUUCAUCUGUUUUUCUGUUCAUUUUUGUCCUUCUCUUUAACCUUGCUGGGUAAAACACAUCUCCAAGGACAAAUAAAAAUGAUUUUCUUACCAGU